GACGAACGCUGGCGGCGUGCUUAACACAUGCAAGUCGAACGGGAUUUAGUAAACAGAAACCUCGGUGGAAGAUUACUAAUGAGAGUGGCGAACGGGUGAGUAACGCGUGAGCAACCUGCCUAUGACAGUGGGAUAGCCUCGGGAAACCGGGAUUAAUACCGCAUAAAAUCGUAGAAACACAUGUUUUAACGGUCAAAGAUUUAUCGGUCAUAGAUGGGCUCGCGUCUGAUUAGCUAGUUGGUGAGAUAACAGCCCACCAAGGCGACGAUCAGUAGCCGGUCUGGGAGGAUGAACGGCCACAUUGGAACUGAGACACGGUCCAAACUCCUACGGGAGGCAGCAGUGGGGAAUAUUGCACAAUGGGGGAAACCCUGAUGCAGCGACGCCGCGUGAACGAAGAAGGUAUUCGUAUCGUAGAGUUCUGUCCUAUGGGAAGAUAAUGACAGUACCAGAGAAGAAAGCUCCGGCUAAAUACGUG
rnacentral:rRNA from 1 species